CCCUUAGAUGUUCUGGGCUGCACGCGCGCUACACUGAUGCGUUCAACGAGUUUAUCACCUUGCCCGAUAGGGUUGGGUAAUCUUUUGAAAACGCAUCGUGAUGGGGAUAGAUUAUUGUAAUUAUUAAUCUUCAACGAGGAAUUCCUAGUAAGUGCGAAUCAUCAGUUCGCGCUGAUUACGUCCCUGCCCUUUGUACACACCGCCCGUCGCUCCUACCGAUUGAGUGGUCCGGUGAAUAAUUCGGACUGAGCACUUGUGCGGUUCGCCGUGCUUGUGCUCGGGAAGUCUAGUGAACCUUAUCACUUAGAGGAAGGAGAAGUCGUAACA
rnacentral:rRNA from 1 species